rnacentral:rRNA from 1 species
AGCGAACGCUGGCGGCAGGCCUAACACAUGCAAGUCGAGCGCCCAGCAAUGGGAGCGGCAGACGGGAUAGUAACACGUGGGAACGUACCUUUCAGUUCGGAACAACCCAGGGAAACUUGGGCUAAUACCGAAUACGUCCGUAAGGAGAAAGAUUUAUCGCUGAAAGAUCGGCCCGCGUCUGAUUAGCUAGUUGGUGAGGUAAUGGCUCACCAAGGCGACGAUCAGUAGCNGGUCUGAGAGGAUGAUCAGCAUCACUGGGACUGAGACACGGCCCAGACUCCUACGGGAGGCAGCAGUGGGGAAUAUUGGACAAUGGGCGCAAGCCUGAUCCAGCCAUGCCGCGUGAUGAUGAAGCCUUAGGGUUGUAAAGUCCUUUCGGGCGGGAAGAUAAUGACGGUACCCGCAGAAGAACGCCCCGGCUAACUUCGUGCC